rnacentral:rRNA from 1 species
UGCAUGUACCGCAUGAAUAAGGAUCGGCUAAUUCCGUGCCAGCAGCCGCGGUAAUACGGAAGAUCCGAGCGUUAUCCGGAUUUAUUGGGUUUAAAGGGAGCGUAGGCGGGCGUUUAAGUCAGUGGUCAAAGCGUGUGGCUCAACCAUACCACGCCAUUGAUACUGGAUGCCUUGAGUGCACAUAAGGAUGGUGGAAUUCAUGGUGUAGCGGUGAAAUGCUUAGAUAUCAUGAAGAACUCCGAUUGCGAAGGCAGCUGUCCGGGGUGUAACUGACGCUAAUGCUCGAAAGUGCGGGUAUCAAACAGGAUUAGAUACCCUG